rnacentral:rRNA from 1 species
GCGCAGGAAUCUACCUAGUAGUGGGGAGUAACAUGGAGAAAUACCACUGCUAAUAACCGCCAUACGACCUCGAGGGAGGAAAGUAGGGGGAGUCUUCGGACCUCACGCUAUUAGAUGAGCCUGCGUAGGAUUAGCUAGUUGGUGGGGUAAAGGCCUACCAAGGCGACGAUCCUUAGCUGGUCUGAGAGGAUGAUCAGCCACACUGGAACUGAGACACGGUCCAGACUCCUACGGGAGGCAGCAGUGGGAAGUAUUGCACAAUGGGCGCAAGCCUGAUGCAGCCAUGCCGCGUGUGUGAAG